rnacentral:rRNA from 1 species
ACGACGGCCGAGGACAAGCUUCUUUGCGAGUGUUGGCGAGACAUUGGACAAGACCCCAAGACGGGCGCCGAGCAAAAGCCUUCAACCUUUUGGAUUCGUGUCCACCGAGAGUUUCAUGAGUGCAAGAAGUUUCCGCCUUACCAAUUUAUGAGCACGCGCGGGUGGGUCUUCAUUUCCAAGCGGUGGAGGGUGAUCCAACAAGAGUGCAACAAGUUUUGCGCCACUCUUGAGAGCGUCAAGGCCCGCCCCGUGAGCGGCAUCGGCAUGCAAGACAUGGCAUUUCAAGCUUUGGAGGCAUUCAAGGUUCAACACAAUGGCAAGUGCUUCAACCUUUCCGAUUGCUAUCGGGUCAUCAAG